AAUGCCCUAUAGUCAUUGCAGGUAUGACUGCCAUUGCAUGUGUGUCAGUAGGUGGCAGAGAGGAGAGAGGCCAUGUUUACAUUCAGUGUUCUAACCUGUGAAUAUCUGAAUAUUAGUAGCUUAACACU
ensembl:snoRNA